GAUCCCAUCCAGGUGGGAGAGGCGGCUGCUGAGGGCUUGGGCAUUGCUGGCGGUGGGGCUCUGACCAGGCUCUCAAAUGGUCUACAGUGCUGCAGCUGGGGGCUCCGUGGACACCUCUGAUGCUCCAAGACCCAGGAGAGGUUAGAACCCAGUUUUGAGACAGUGUCUUGCUGUGUAGUCCAAGCUGGCCUCAAACUCCCGGUCCUCUGGCCUUAGCCUUCCAAGUGCUGAGACUAAGGGCGAGUGCUUCCAACCCUGCUGAAAGGCGCGACUUCUGCACAUCUUCUCUGGGGAAGAGGGAAGGCAGCCAGCUGAGAAAAUGCUCAUGCAAUGGCCACAGUGAUGCAAGGUCAAAUGAGGAGCAUAAAACCCGAAGUGGUUUGCAGGACUCCGUAAUAGGUCUCUAAGCUAAACCAUGAAGGUUACUGAUUUUUCCCUCCACCUUGCUCCACUGUGGGAUUUUCUACUCUUUCAAAUCUCUGACUGUAGCCACAAACACCAGAUGAAUAUUUCAAAGCAGUCCUUCUCCAGUGACAGAGUGUGUAACCACCACAGUGGCUGUGAAUGCAGAUUCUCAAGCCCCAGCCUCCAGUCAGGAUCUCAGCACAGCAGGAGGAAGAUACUAAUGCUACCUCUUGAGAAACUAGCACAAACUGGAGCACAGAGAGGUUAAGCAGCCUCGCCAAGGUCGCACAGCCAUCACUGUCACAGCAUGGACCUGGGAGGGAGAGGACAGGGACGGAGGGUUGGUCCCGGCAGCUGCCUGUGGCUUCUCUGACGCUGAGGAGAAUCUCCAGGACUCUCCCCACAAGCUGACCACAGUUGUGCUCCCCAAGCUUUGGCACAAGGCGUCUGUGACCAGCUGGGAAGACUGCGUAGGGUUUAAGUUUGUCCUAAGGACCUUUCUGAGUUGUUUGGUGUUAUGUGGGAUGUCUGGAAUGGACGAUUUGCAGAUCCUCUGUAUCAGGAGAGAAAUGAAAUAUUCAGGGAGCG